AACGAACGCUGGCGGCAGGCCUAACACAUGCAAGUCGAGCGCGCCCUUCGGGGUGAGCGGCGGACGGGUGAGUAACGCGUGGGAACGUGCCCUUUUCUACGGAAUAGCCUCGGGAAACUGAGAGUAAUACCGUAUACGCCCUUUGGGGGAAAGAUUUAUCGGAAAAGGAUCGGCCCGCGUUGGAUUAGGUAGUUGGUGGGGUAAUGGCCUACCAAGCCGACGAUCCAUAGCUGGUUUGAGAGGAUGAUCAGCCACACUGGGACUGAGACACGGCCCAGACACGGAGGGGAGGAAGCAGUGGGGUAUAUGAGAGAGUGGGGACAACCCUGAUGUGGGCAUGCCGCGUGGGGGAGGAAGGCGUUAGGGUUGAAACGAUUUUCCAGCGGGAAAGAUAACGCCGGUACCAGCAGAAGACGCCCCGGCGAACUCCGUGCCAGCAGCGGCUGUAAGAAUCGGACGGCACACGUCUGACC
rnacentral:rRNA from 1 species